rnacentral:piRNA from 2 species
UCCCUCCAGGUGACAGUGAUCCAUUAAGCA